rnacentral:tRNA from 1 species
GCCGGUUAGCUGAGUUGGUUAAAGCGUGGUGCUCGUAACGCCAAGGUCGCGGGUUCAAUCCCCGUACGGUUCA